CUGGAAGCGGCGUUUGUCCCCACUUUGUAUCAGUCGCAAAGAAAGAGCACCCAAUUGGACGAAAGGCUGCGUUCCUGGCCCAGAGUGGGUCUUACCCCACAGAAACUGAGGAUGGACUGAUUGACUUGAAGACUGAGAAGCUGGACAUGACCUGCUGUGAAAAGAGCCUCUGUAACAAGGGCGUCAAGGGGGCAGAGGCUGUGGAUGGGGAAGGCGGCACAGGGUCCUGCCUGGGCCUUACCUCCCGAGGUCCCCACAGGGGCAGAGUGGUGGGGGGCUGGUGAGGGGCAGUGCCAGGACCCGCUGCCCAUCCUCCGGAGGCUCAUUUGCAGGCAGAUGCUGGGAAGCAGGGGCUGGAUGGGGCUGCAGAGAGGAGGGCGCCCAGUUCCGGGCUGGCGUGGAGACUGGGAAAUCCCCGGCGGGACGCUCAGGUUCAGAGCCCUGAGGAAGAAGCUUGCUCCUGAUGCACCAGGAAACUGAAACUGAAACUCAGGGCCCUAGUCCAGGACCCUCCUCUCUAUUGAGUCACAAUUUCUCCUUCUAAGGCAACCUCCCACCCCAGGGGACACCCUCUCGCUUCUCUCCUCACGGCAGCCCCUCCUCCUUCCGGGUCUGUUCUGCUCACACCCUGAGCUCUGGGAGGCCCCAGGCAGAGAAGGGGUGGGGGGUGGGGGGUGGUCUUGCUCGAGGUCACGUCUGCCUUCCAGAGCAGCCAGAUCAGGUCACAUCUGCCUUCCAGGCACAGAAGGGGUGGGGUGAGGGGGGCCUUGCUCGAGGUCACAUCAGCCUUCUAGAGCAGCCAGGUCAGGACGGAAGGGUUUCUACCCCUCAGUUCCCGUACUACGAGAUGAUGGGGUGAGGCCAUCGGCUGUGUGCAUAUUACACAAGCAAUCUGGGUUCCUCCUCGUAAACCAGACGUGGGGCAGAGGUUCCCAGGCUCGGGGGUGCAAGGCCUCCCCUAGCUCUUUCCAGGCUCGGAGCCUCUGUGCCACACCUGCCCUCCAUGCACCCACACCCAAGACCAUGAAGGUCACCGGCCCCUGCUGCUGCUGGCGCAGCUGUGGGUGAAGCCCUGUAAGUGGGGGCUGAGGGGGGAGGAUGGGAAGGAGGCCUGAAGGUGGGAGUGAGACCCUCUCGAUGCUGGGGGCUCCAGAUGCCAGCAGGACCCUGCCCACAAUUCUGAGUAGCCAAGGGCACCUGAGCCUACCUGUGUGCUGCCCAGGCCUGCUGCCUGUGCUGGUGAGAGGGACUGGAACCCACCCUUCAGCCUGGGACCCUGACCUGCACCCUCCCUGCCCCAUCCUGAGUCAGGGCCUUGAGUGCUUCCAGUGCUGUGGUGUCUUGGACCCCAGCCUGUGCCACCCGUCUCCGACCCCAUGCAGGCUCAAAGCUGCCCCUCCUCUGUGGUCACUGGCACUACCAAUGGUGAGUCCGGGUGGGACCCGGCGUCUGUAAGCAGGUAAGGGGUGGGCAGGGCACUCUCAGGCAGCAUCCCAGGGGCUCUGCCUUGAGCCCCCUGGCCUGGUAGAAGCUUGGAUCUGGGGACAGAGCUCAGGGACCUCCAUCUAACGGAUCACAGACUUGGCGUGGAGCCUGGGGCCGCCCCCCGUUCUCAUCUGCUUGUCUCCGUGUCGCCACUGGCUUCAAGGUUCCCUGAAGGGGGCGGUCCUGGGGCAGGUCCGAGGGGGUCGGGUGGGGCCUCCUGUGCCAGCCGCCCUCCUCUCGCCCACAGGGCAGAAAUUCAGCUACGCUAGCAAGGGCUGUGCCCCCACCCCGUGCCCAGAUUAUGAACCUCACCCAUCCUGUGGUCCAUGGAGGGUCUUACCCCAUAGAAACUGAGGAUGGACUGAUUGACUUGAAGACUGAGAAGCUGGACAUGACCUGCUGUGAAAAGAGCCUCGCUUCAGGAAAUUGAAACUCAGCGCGCUGGGCUCCUCCCUUCUCUGCUCCAGGCCCAGGAGACAACCCGGACUCCCUUCCUCGGCUCCUGGAAACCACCUGUCCUUGGGGGGCCUCCCGCCUCCGGAGGGCGGGGCGGCAGGAACCCGGCGGCGGAACCACUCCCUCCGCUACCCGCAGGAGGUCAGGGCUGCCUCUGACCCCAGCCCUAAACCCAGAGCAGAGGGAGAGCUGGGCCCCGAGUUCCAGAUCCCAGGAGGACAAGCAGCUUCCACUCUGAGACUGUCUCCCCUGGGGAAACGAGGGGAUUGACUGUGCCCUCGUCUCAGUGUGGUUGCGAGACUUAGAAACCAGUGAGCUCACCUCGGAAGUGGAGGAGAUGCCAGAGAUGGAAGCGAAAAUUAGCUUUAGCAGAAACCAAGCAUUUGUUAGAAAUUCUAUGAUCGCCCAGCGCCCACCAUGUUCCUGUGUCCCUGGAGUCAGAUCCAGGUUCCUGGCCAUGGCUUUUGGGUGCAACUUCCUCUCACCAGCUCCACUAUGAUCAACUGGUCUGUCCCUCCAGCAAAGCCACCUGUGAUUCCAAGUGAACAAUGCAGUGAAUGCACUGCACGCUGGGACCCGAAUGCCGGGAUCUCUGUCCUCCUGGCUACCGUGCCCAGGCUUCUGGACCAUCUGGUUUCCACCCUCUGUUCUCUGCUUGCAUUUCUCAAUGCUAGAGCAACCCACUCAGCAAAUCCAAACUCCCCACAGAAUCUCAAGCUCAGUCUCUGCAGGGUCCGUCCACAGGGAGUGGUGACUGGCGGCAGGACCCUCCUCCCGGUGACCCCUUCCAGGUCCUCUUGCUCAGUUACAACGGGCCCUUCUUGGGUGGCAGUAAUGAUUCGUGUGUUUCAGACAGGAAUCACUACCUCAGGGACACAGGAGGAGGACACAGGUCGUUGACCUGCCUUGACCUCAGGGACCUGGGAGGACCUGGCUAUUCAUAUCAGCUGCCAGGGGGGGAAUCUUGGGCUUCCAUGGUGACCACUGGCCCCUCCUGCUGGACGGUGCCCCUGGAAUCUUGACACACAGCACAGUUUCUGGCCAGCCAGGGAAAUCCAGGGUCGGCGCUGAGUGGCUGAGACCCUGGUCCGUUUCCUCCCAUUGUCCCAGAUAAACAAACAAACACACCUCCA